rnacentral:rRNA from 1 species
CCUACGGGAGGCAGCAGUGAGGAAUAUUGGUCAAUGGGCGCGAGCCUGAUCCAGCCAAGUCGCGUGAAGGAUGAAUGCCCUACGGGUUGUAAACUUCUUUUAUAGAGGAAUAAAGUGAGGCACGUGUGCCUUUUUGUAUGGACUUUAUGAAUAAAGAUCGGCUCACUCCGUGCCAUCAGCCGCGGUAAUACGGAGGGUGCGAGCGUUAUCCGGAUUUAUUGGGUGUAAAGGGAGCGUAGAUGGGUUGUUAAGUCAGUUGUGAAAGUUUGCGGCUCAACCGUAAAAUUGCAAUUGAUACUGGCAGUCUUGAGUACAGUUGAGGUAGGCGGAAUUCGUGGUGUAGCGGUGAAAUGCGUAGAUAUCACGAAGAACUCCGAUUGCGAAGGCAGCUUACUAAACUGCCACUGACAUUGAGGCUCGAAAGUGUGGGUAGCAAACAGGAUUAGAUACCCCGGUAGUC